rnacentral:rRNA from 1 species
UACGUAGGGUGCGAGCGUUGUCCGGAAUUACUGGGCGUAAAGAGCUCGUAGGUGGUUUGUCGCGUUGUUCGUGAAAACUCACGGCUUAACUGUGAGCGUGCGGGCGAUACGGGCAGACUGGAGUACUGCAGGGGAGACUGGAAUUCCUGGUGUAGCGGUGGAAUGCGUAGAGAUCCGGAAGAACACCGGUGGCGAAGGCGGUCUGCUGGGGUAAUGCUGACACUGAUGCGCGACAGCGUGGGGAGCAAACAGG